GGGAGCUAUGAUACCAGCACUAAUGUACCGGAUCCCAUCAGAACUCUACAGUUAAGCGUGCUUGGAUGAGAGUAGUACUAGGAUGGGUGGCCUCCUAGGAGGUCCUCGUGUUGCACCCC